UACAGAGGGUGCGAGCGUUAAUCGGAUUUACUGGGCGUAAAGCGUGCGUAGGCGGAUUUUUAAGUCGGAUGUGAAAUCCCUGCGCUUAACUUAGGAAUUGCCUUCGAUACUGGGAAGCUAGAGUAUGGGAGAGGAUGGUAGAAUUCCAGGUGUAGCGGUGAAAUGCGUAGAGAUCUGGAGGAAGACCGAUGGCGAAGGCAGCCAUCGGGCCUAAUACUGACGCUGAGGUACGAAAGCAUGGGGAGCAAACAGGAUUAGAUACCCCGGUAGUCC
rnacentral:rRNA from 1 species